rnacentral:rRNA from 1 species
GAUGAACGCUAGCUACAGGCUUAACACAUGCAAGUCGAGGGGCAGCAUGAACAAAGCUUGCUUUGUUUGAUGGCGACCGGCGCACGGGUGCGUAACACGUAUCCAAUCUGCCCGCGGCUCGGGGAUAGCCCAUCGAAAGAUGGAUUAAUACCCCGAUGGGUGUGGUCACUCCGCAUGGGGGUUUUCCCACGUAAAGGUUUUCCGGCCGCGGAUGAGGAUGCGUAUGAUUAGGUAGUAGGCGGGGUAACGGCCCACCUAGCCUUCGAUCAUUAGGGGUUCUGAGAGGAAGGUCCCCCACACUGGAACUGAGACACGGUCCAGACUCCUACGGGAGGCAGCAGUGAGG